UACGGAGGGUGCAAGCGUUAAUCGGAAUUACUGGGCGUAAAGCGCACGCAGGCGGUCUGUUAAGCUAGAUGUGAAAGCCCCGCGCUCAACGUGGGAUGGUCAUUUAGAACUGGCAGACUAGAGUUUUGGAGAGGAGAGUGGAAUUCCAGGUGUAGCGGUGAAAUGCGUAGAUAUCUGGAGGAACAUCAGUGGCGAAGGCGACUCUCUGGUCAAUAACUGACGCUCAUGUGCGAAAGUGUGGGUAGCGAACAGG
rnacentral:rRNA from 2 species